UUUCUGACAGCAUGACUGCUAUCAAAAGAUUUUUGAAAAUCUAAUAUUUUUCAUGAAAGGUACUUAUCAUUUCACCUUAGGUCUAUAAAAUGAAAGCACUCACUUGAUACUGAUGAUUUAAAAUCUGUUUGGUGUUUUCUGUUCUGGAAACCUACUUGCUUCUUGACAGGUUGCAGAAGGAAAUCGCUCUUGAUUUUUCCCUGAUACUGAGGAUAACACAGUUUUUUGUGCUAGAUGUGGAGGCUGACAAUGCUAUGAUCAUCUGAAAAUUGUGUUCUGAGUCUUCAGCUGCGUUGGUGUCACUUGUAUGUUCUGUAAUCUCUUCAAAAGCAUAAGAGGUGACUAAGGGACUAUUUGUCACUUGUUUAACAAAUGCUCUAUAACCACUUUCCCUUUUGGUGUUUAAUCAUUUUUGUCAUUUUGUAUGCUCUGAAACUUUUAAAUCAGUGUGACUGUCAGAAGGUCUUUAUCAUGAAGACUUGUCUAUCUUUUAGACUUGAUCUGUGUAAGACAACAUAACCUUGUCUUGAACUUUGCUUUUUCGUUAUUCUUUAUUUAUCACUUUAUAUUCUGCUUGCAUGUUUAACAAGACCUCCAAUACUGCUUAAAAAUAAUAAUAAUAAUAAAAAAAAAUCUAUUAGCUAUUUAGUUACCUUAAGGCAAAGUUAUUAUAAAAGAGGGAAGGUUCUCUCUUUUAUUUUCAGUUUCCAGAAGCUUUAUGUCAAAAUAUAACCUCUGAUCUCUUUUGAACUCAUUUUGCCUUUUCAAUCUAUGUCACUAUAGACUUUUUGUCAUUUGUUUUUCUCCUAGCUUCUAAUCUAGUCUUUUGCUUGCUUUUUCUCGCUGGUACCAAAAUAACAUCAGAAAGCUAUUAUUUCCUUUUUAAUUUAAUUCUGUUUGUGGAAGCCUUUCUACUUUCUAACUGUACUUUCUCUGCUGUCUAAUCUACAGAAUAACUGUGGUUAUCGCAAGAUAUCCAAGUCUUCAAGUGCCUGGAACUUAGGAUAUCUACGCCACCUUAGAGGUACCAGCUCUGCCACCAUGAGAUGCAUAGACUACAAGUAACAUGCAAAUCUGUCAGAAGAGGGGAAGAAAGGAUGCUGCUUUACAAGGAGGACAAGCUAUAGGUAUAUAAGAGCAAGGUGAAAUAAAGAAAUUGAAAAGUUAAAGAAUGUUAUAAAAAUAUUGAUACCAAAAGCUAAAAUUUUCAGUACAGCCAGAAUUUAUUGCUGUGUUGUUAUUUUUGACAAAUGCGAAGAAAUAGUUUAAGGGAAGGAAAGGAUCUGAAAUCACCUAAAUCUACUUUUUAUCUUAAAAUAUUAGUUCUUUAUUAAACACAACAACCUAUGUUUAACUGUCCCAUAUCUUGUAGAAAUCCGUCUCGGUAUUAACUAGACUGAAGAGAA